ensembl:misc_RNA Y_RNA Y RNA
GGCUGAUCUGAGUGCAGUGGUGUUUACAACUAAUUCAUCACAACCAGUUACAGAGAUUUAUUUGUCCCAUCUCUACACCUAACUCCUUCAUUUAACUAGAAAA